rnacentral:rRNA from 1 species
UACAGAGGUCUCAAGCGUUGUUCGGAUUCAUUGGGCGUAAAGGGUGCGUAGGCGGCGCGGUAAGUCGGGUGUGAAAUCUCAGAGCUCAACUCUGAAACUGCACUCGAUACUGCUUUGCUAGAGGACUGGAGAGGAGAUUGGAAUUCACGGUGUAGCAGUGAAAUGCGUAGAGAUCGUGAGGAAGACCAGUGGCGAAGGCGGAUCUCUGGACAGUUCCUGACACUGAGACACGAAGGCCAGGGGAGCAAACGGG